rnacentral:misc_RNA from 1 species
AAAGUCGUAACAAGGUCUCCGUUGGUGAACCAGCGGAGGGAUCAUUAGCGAGUUCUAAACUCCCAACCCUCGUGGACAUACCUAUGUUGCUUCGGCGGGGCGCCCUGAACGGGGCGCGGCCCUCUCGGGGGCACCCGCCGGUGGCACGCACACAAAACCUGCCUUCUGAAGAAUUCUGAGUAGGCUAUAAAUAAGUCAAAACUUUCAGCAACGGAUCUCUUGGUUCUG